rnacentral:rRNA from 1 species
CCCUUAGAUGUUCUGGGCUGCACGCGUGCUACACUGAUAUUGCCAAUAUGUCAUUCUUAUCCGAAAUGGAUUGGGUAAUCAAGUAAUGAAAUUUCAUGCUUGGAAUCGGUAAUUGCAAUUUUAUCGUGAACGAGGAAUUCCUAGUAAGCACUAGUCAUCAGCUAAUGUUGAUUAUGUCCCUGCCCUUUGUACACACCGCCCGUCGCUACUACUGAUUGGGUGUUCAAGUGAGAUGCUAAGACCCUUGUUGCAUGGUUCAUUAUUGUGCUCCGAAAGGAAAAAGUUUCAAGCUUGAGUGUCUAGAGGAAGUAAAAGUCGUAACA